AACGAACGCUGGCGGCGUGCCUAAGACAUGCAAGUCGUGCGAGAAAGGGACUUCGGUCCUGAGUACAGCGGCGCACGGGUGAGUAACGCGUGGGUAACCUACCUCGAAGUUUGGAAUAACCCGGGGAAACCUGAGCUAAUACCGGAUGAGCCUACGAGGCCUUCGGGUCAUGUGGGAAAAGAUGGCCUCUGCUUGCAAGCUAUCGCUACGAGAUGAGCCCGCGUCCCAUUAGCUAGUUGGUGAGGUAACGGCUCACCAAGGCGACGAUGGGUAGCUGGUCUGAGAGGACGAUCAGCCACACUGGAACUGAGACACGGUCCAGACUCCUACGGGAGGCAGCAGUCGGGAAUAUUGGGCAAUGGCCGCAAGGCUGACGCAGCAACACCGCGU
rnacentral:rRNA from 1 species